rnacentral:pre_miRNA from 1 species
AUGCUACUCCCUCCGUUCCGAAUUACUUGUCGCAGGUAUCAAUGUAUCUAGAUGUAUUUUAGUUCUAGAUACAUCCAUUUCUAUGAUGAGUAAUUUGGAUCGGAGAGAGUAGGUU